UACGUAGGGGGCAAGCGUUGUCCGGAAUCAUUGGGCGUAAAGCGCGCGUAGGCGGCCCGGUAAGUCCGCUCUGAAAGUCCAGGGCUCAACCCUCGAAUGCCGGUGGAUACUGUCGGGCUAGAGUGCGGAAGAGGCGAGUGGAAUUCCUGGUGUAGCGGUGAAAUGCGCAGAUAUCAGGAGGAACACCGAUUGCGAAGGCAGCUCGCUGGGACGUCACUGACGCUGAGGCGCGAAAGCUAGGGGAGCAAACGGG
rnacentral:rRNA from 1 species